UACGUAGGGUGCGAGCGUUAAUCGGAAUUACUGGGCGUAAAGUGUGCGCAGGCGGCCGCGCAAGUCGAGUGUGAAAGCCCCGAGCUUAACUUGGGAAUUGCGCUCGAAACUACGUGGCUGGAGUGUGGCAGAGGGAGGUGGAAUUCCACGUGUAGCGGUGAAAUGCGUAGAGAUGUGGAGGAACACCGAUGGCGAAGGCAGCCUUCUGGGCCAACACUGACGCUCAUGCACGAAAGCGUGGGGAGCAAACAGG
rnacentral:rRNA from 1 species